ensembl:lncRNA
AUCGCAAGGACAGCUACGUUUCUGGUCCCGAUUUCCAACAUCUGGCGUAGCCACGACAACAAGCGAAGCAUUCGGCUGAGGGUCACCAGUUAACAUGGUCACCACUUGAGGGACUACCGCGACCCGGGCAACGUGGCAGAUCGCGCGCAGAGGUCUAAUUAGGGAAAACACUCUAGCCACCUUCUUGAAGGCACCAGACCAGACGAGGAUCACUGAGCAACUGGAGGAAAGUCAAGUACCGCUGCAACAACGGCUGAAUGUGUGAAGAGGUGGAGAUCCCUCAGGGACCGAUAUCGGAGGGAGAGGGUGAAGGAGAAGGAAGCCCAGAGGAGUGGGGCAGGGGCCGACAAGCAGCCUGUGUGGAGGUACAUGGCGGUGAUGGGCUUCCUAGCGCCAUUCCUGCAAAAUAGAGGGACCACCUCCAACCUCCCGCAUCGGAACCCAUCCCCGGUGUCGGUGAUGGUGGUGAUAGAGGAGCAUCGAGAGGCAGGUGCGCUGUCACUAGCAGCAGAUGAAGCAGCCCCAGCCCCAGCCCCAGCCCCAGCCCCGGCCCCGGCCCCGGCCCCAGCCACGGCUCCAGCAGCGGAUGGUGGACCUGUGGGUAGGAGCCAGUGGCGCGUGCAGCCCCCAGAAGAGGGCAGGGGUAGGAAGCGGCGGAGGCCUGAGAUGUCCCCCUUUGAGCAGGGCAUGCUGGCAUUCAUGGAGCCGCUGGCUACACUUGCCUCGCAGCCGCAACCACAGCCACAGCCGCAGCCGCAGCCCCCCUCUGAGGACGAGACUUUCUUUAUGUCCCUCCUCCCUGCCAUGAGAAGGCUCUCCAGUGCUAUUAGAGCCAUGGUGCGGUACGAGGUGUACCAAAUCGUUUCCAGGGCAGAUAUGGCGGCGCUACAGGGGGAGGUUAGGGAGAAUGACAGUGACUGAGUGACUGAGUGCGUGAGGUUAUGUUUGUUAUGGUGUUAAAUUAUGGUGUUUCUGUCGUUUUGUUGUUCUGUUGUUCUGUUGUUCUGUGUGUUCUUAAUUAAAAAAAAAUACUUUGAUUGUGAUGUGUUCCUUUUAUAAUACAUUAUAAUUUGGAAGUGGAAUUAUGUUAUAUUAAUAUUAGCACAUUAAUAAUUAUUCAGUACACUUGCAGAAAGACAAUAGGGAUUCUUGAAAGCUGGCUCGGGUCAUCUGUGAAAAACCAAACCAAAU